UGGGGAAUAUUGCACAAUGGGCGGAAGCCUGAUGCANCGACNCCGCGUGAGGGAUGACGGCCUUCGGGUUUAAACCUCUUUCAGCAGGGAAGAAGCGCAAGUGACGUACCUGCAGAAGAAGCAC
rnacentral:rRNA from 1 species